rnacentral:rRNA from 1 species
UGAGGAAUAUUGGUCAAUGGUCGGAAGACUGAACCAGCCAUGCCGCGUGCAGGAAGAAUGCCUUAUGGGUUGUAAACUGCUUUUAUAUGGGAAGAAUAAGGUGUACGUGUACAUUGAUGACGGUACCAUAUGAAUAAGCAUCGGCUAACUCCGUGCCAGCAGCCGCGGUAAUACGGAGGAUGCGAGCGUUAUUCGGAAUCAUUGGGUUUAAAGGGUCUGUAGGCGGGCUAUUAAGUCAGAGGUGAAAGGUUUCAGCUUAACUGAGAAAUUGCCUUUGAUACUGGUAGUCUUGAAUAUCUGUGAAGUUCUUGGAAUGUGUAGUGUAGCGGUGAAAUGCUUAGAUAUUACACAGAACACCGAUUGCGAAGGCAGCUUACUAAGGUACAACUGACGCUGAAGCACGAAAGCGUGGGUAUCAAACAGGAUUAGAUACCCUGGUAGUCCACGCAGUAAACGAUGAUAACUGGGCGUACGCGAUAUACAGUAUGCUCCUAAGCGAAAGCGUUAAGUUAUCCACCUGGGGAGUACGCCGGCAACGGUG